rnacentral:rRNA from 1 species
AACGAACGCUGGCGGCAUGCCUAACACAUGCAAGUCGAACGAGACCUUCGGGUCUAGUGGCGCACGGGUGCGUAACGCGUGGGAACCUGCCCUUAGGUUCGGAAUAACUCCCCGAAAGGGGUGCUAAUACCGGAUAAUUUCUUCGGACCAAAGAUUUAUCGCCUUUGGAUGGGCCCGCGUUGGAUUAGCUAGUUGGUAGGGUAAAAGCCUACCAAGGCGACGAUCCAUAGCUGGUCUGAGAGGAUGAUCAGCCACACUGGGACUGAGACACGGCCCAGACUCCUACGGGAGGCAGCAGUGGGGAAUAUUGGACAAUGGGCGAAAGCAUGAUCCAGCAAUGCCGCGUGAGUGAUGAAGGCCUUAGGGUUGUAAAGCUCUUUUACCCGGGAUGAUAAUGACAGUACCGGGAGAAUAAGCUCCGACUAACUCCGUG